AGGGGGAGGCCGGAUCCUGGGCUGCGUCCCGGCGCCUUGUGCUCCGGAGCCUGCGCUGGUGGAUUCGCGCUCCCGGGCCACGCAGCCCCCU
rfam:Canis lupus familiaris chromosome 8, whole genome shotgun sequence.